CAUGAUUCAGGAUAACAGGAAACAUUAGCGGAUGAGUACCUACCUACUAUUUUGUUUUCUUAUUCAGGAUGCGAAUGUCUAAAAUUGACUAGUACACAUUUCGUAAGAGAUUCUCUGGGUUCCUAAAAAAUAUAAAAUCCGCAAAAUCAAAUUUUAUAAUUUCGCGAAAAUGCUGGAUAUGUUUCAGUGUACUUCAGGAGCGAGGUAAACGAAGAAAAAUGUUGCUGCCUCGGUGGGAAUCGAACCACACGCCCCCCGCUUGCCGGGAAGGUAUCCUGACC